GUCAGCGUGGCAAGACGCAGACAGCAGACAUGGAGAUGAUCUCCUGGAGGCAGGAGGAGUGGGGGACGCAGGGGGGAAUGUGGACCAGCCUGUCCCCGGGGCCUGCACACUUGCCUUCUCAUUCUGCUGCUCCCGUUGCCUGACUUGGUUGGAGCCCCUCUUAACUCUCCUGCCCUCUGGCACCCUGCAGUCCUUUCUGAACCAACUCCCUGCUCCUGCAAGGGAAAAUUUUAAAAGGAUCAAAACUUCGUCCAUGUGGCUCUUCAAUGUUACAUCCAUACCCAGGCUAAAGACUUUGGAAACUGAGGAAGAUCUAACUUUUCUUGAGGUAAUUUAAAGGAUUUCAGUAAUUUCUGCCCAAACAAUAACAACAAAACCCACCUUCGAAGCUUCAGGACGCACACUGGGGCUGGGGCCGGCGGGUCCCUGUGCGUCUCUGUUGGCAGGCUCCUCAGAGUCCUGUGGCCUGACGGAACACUGGGAAGCCCAGAGGAGAGGUGCCGAGGAGCAGCUGGAGGCCUGGCCCCCAGGAUCCAUUUGAGUCCUGACGGCAGGAGAGGCAGACGGGCGGUGCCCACUUUGCUCAGGUCCUUGUCACUGUGGCCAGAAGACCCGACAAGAACUCCUUAAGGGUGCAGAAGUUUGCUCCGGCUCCCAGGUUCAGGGUUCGGUCCACGGUCGAUUGACUCCACAGCCCUGGCCCGCGGUGAGGCAGGGCAUCCUGGUGGAAGGACUUGGGAAGGACAGCCGCUCAGGGCAUGGCCUCCAGGAAGCAGGGACUCCGCUCACCACAGACAAAAUACAAACCCCAAAGCCUGACCCCGGUGAUCUGUUAUCUGUAACCACAACCUAACUGCCUACUGACCACCCAGUUCAUCCGCAGCUGUGGUGUAUUCCAUUGAUCAGGCUACACCUCUCGUCAGUGGCACAUGCAUGUAAUCCCAGAGACUCUGGAGGUUGAGGCAGAAGGAUUGCAAGUUCAAAGCCAGCAUCAGUAACUUAGUGAGGUCCUCAGCAAAUGUAUGAGACUCUUAUCUCAAAAUAAAAAAAUACAAAGGUUUGGUUAUGUGCCGUAAGGGUUGAGCCUCCCUGGGUUCAAUCCCUGGCAUGUUAUGUUCUUGUCCAAACCACCAUGUCCUAGAGAGGCAAAGCUUUCCUUUCUCUGGAACCCGUCACUGUUUCUCAUUUGAAAAUCUCUGAAGUUUUACCAAGCAAAAUCAAUACAAUUUUAAAUAUCAUGAAAGCAAAAUGAAAUUCAAUUUAGGUAUUGAAUAUGUAAAUUUUUGUGAUACAAAUUACAUUUUUUCAUGGGCCUGUGUUAACAUUUCAGACUGGUUCUUUCUUACCCUCUAGUGGGUCCUCAGUGGACAGUGGCUCUCACUAGUUCAUGUCCCCUGACUCCCACUGCUGUGUCAAUGGCUCAGGAUCUGUCUCUGACAGCUCCAAGGCACCUCUCAUGUUUCUAUAUGAUGAAAAGUUCCUAUGUGUGAUAUCACCAACUGAAUUCCCCUUCUCUCAUUUUGAGUUUCAUCCUGGAACGUUCUCCUUUUAGUGAGGCUCUUCUUCCUGCACAUAGAAUAAAGUUCUGCAAGGUAAUCACCAACACAUUUCUGUUGCAACACUUGGUGGCAAUAUAUGCACAAUAACAUUGGACAAUUAACAAGAGAUAUGCAGCUUUUCCAAAGGGAAAAAAGACAGGUAACAGGAAACCCUUUAUGGAGCAAGCAAAUCUCAGAAUUACUGAGUGCACAACAUGCAUUCAGAGCAACAACAAAAAUCAACACUUAGGGGUUGAUGAAAUCAUUGUGAUUAAACGAAUAUCUUUACCCUUGAGCCCGUAAUAUAAUGACCCGUCAGGGGCAAAAAUUAACUGUGUCCGUUGCCCCAGACUCCACUUUACAGGUGACAAAACCGAGGCAUGGUGAGGUUACAAGUCUAACCAAGGCCACACAGGAGAGAGGAAGCCAGGGGUCACCUCCAGGGCUGCUGAGGUCAAACGCAGGCCCUUGGCCAUGGCGAGAACUGGUUCCUCUCCGCAUCUGACUCAGCGAUGCACCCUUGUGUGUAGACGGGGGAGACCUGCAGCACCUGGGGCCUGAUGCAGGUCUUGAUCACACUGCGGCAGGUGGAAACCUUCACCCCAGUCACUUGUUCCCAGCACAGUGAGGCUCCCUGGAAAAGCAGCAUUUAAAAUCACCUGACUUUGGAUCAUGACCGAGUCCAGCCACGCUGAUGUCUACAACAGAUGCCCCCUGACCAAGCUCCCCUCAGGAUCCUCGGAGAUCUCUUCUGCCAGAUCUUGAAUCCCCCUGAAGCCUGUUAAGUCUGGAUACACCAUCCCCACCCCUGACAUCUGAUCACCCUGCGUCCCCAAAGCCCUUGGUAGAGGUCCAGUUUUCCCCUGCCAUCCUGAUGCCUUAUCCACAGGGCCUGCCCUUUGUGGAAUUCCUGUGAGGUCAUUUCAGGCAGGAUUCCUCUUCCAUCCAUAUCAUGUUUUAUUAAUUUUAAGGGAUGCAUGGAAAUAUGAAAAGUAAACAUGAUAAUGCUGUAUCGUGUGUCUUUAUGACACAUGCAUGUGUUGUAUAAAGCUUAGACUGUGUCAAA